rnacentral:rRNA from 1 species
UACGUAGGGGGCAAGCGUUGUCCGGAAUUAUUGGGCGUAAAGGGCUCGUAGGCGGUUUCUUAAGUCUGAUGUGAAAGCCCACGGCUCAACCGUGGAGGGUCAUUGGAAACUGGGGGACUGAGUACAGAAGAGAAGAGUGGAAUUCCACGUGUAGCGGUGAAAUGCGUAGAGAUGUGGAGGAACACCAGUGGCGAAGGCGGCUAUCUGGACGGUUUCUGACGCUAAGACGGCGAAAGCGUGGGGAGCAAACAGG